UCUUAUGUGAGAAUAAAUGUGAGCCUUCGGAUAUUUUCUAAUCUAAAGGCUGAAAUCAAUAGCUUAAUAAUGGCAUUUUUGUAAAUUCGAUAAACUAUUACUCGACCAGCUUCUUCCUCUUUCACGCCUAAUUGCUUCUCUCUCUAAAAUCGGACAAGUUCUCAUCUCUCUCCCUCUUCAUUGUGUCGGUGUAUCAAGCUCGAAUUUCUCUUAAAUUUCGUUCUAAUUGCUGCGAUUUAAUCCACGUUCUCGAAUAUAUUAAUCUAAUUUCCGGAUUUGGUGUGGUUUUAAAGCCUUACCCAAAUCAAGGACCUGAAGAAGCCAUUUAAACCACUGAAGGAUCUACACAUGGAGGAAGUCGUUGCCGAUAUUAUCAAGAAGCCAUUUAAGCAUAUUUUUUUAAGUAAUUUUAUACAGGGUUUUUGCUUUUUGUUGCUAAUUUUCUUUUGAGGACAUUAUUAUACUGCUUGUAAUAAAUAAUGUGGUACAUGAUCUUUUAUUUAUCAUUGUAGUUUUGUCUAAGAUUUAAAUAUAUUUUUGUAUAUUUUUUGCGAUAUGGUGCAAGGUCUCAGGAGCAGUCUUGAAUUCUUGAUGCACCUCCAGUUGCUUACAGAUGUACAUUGGUUGAUUUUGUUCAACUCAGCACCUCAUCUUGCUGAAUAUAGAACAUUGUUGGUUUCCUGUGUUCUCAAA